rnacentral:rRNA from 1 species
UACAGAGGGGGCAAGCGUUAUUCGGAAUUAUUGGGCGUAAAGGGCGCGUAGGCGGCAUGGCAAGUGGAUGGUGAAAUCCCUCGGCUUAACCGAGGAACUGCCGUCCAAACUGCUUCGCUUGAGACCGGGGAGAGGUGAGUGGAAUUCCCAGUGUAGCGGUGAAAUGCGUAGAUAUUGGGAGGAACACCAGUGGCGAAGGCGGCUCACUGGACCGGUACUGACGCUGAGGUGCGAAAGCGUGGGGAGCAAACAGG